rnacentral:sRNA from 2 species
GCAUACGGGGACAUCAGGGAGCUGCUGUGGGAGUCAGGAGGGGUUUGAUUCUCUUCGCCGUUUUCAAAGCCUCAUUCCCCCGCAAGUGGGAAGCAUAAACCUGUUCAAGGUUCAAUUCCUGUGGCGAGUCAAAACUGGACCAACCAACCAGCCCUAAUCCGGACUGAAAUCCCCCGCCGACAAAAAUAGCACAAGGGGACGAAGCUCAGGAGCGCCUGUUGACUUGAAUUCUGGUGUUGGACACGGGGGGGCCGCGAUCCUGUAUGUAGAAUCAAUCAGUCAAUGCAUAGAUGCAGAAGAGCGGGAUUGGAAAGGGGGAGUUUCGACAACAAUUCGGUUCGAUUCCAUCCGGAGUGCUUGGGAUGAAGAAUGCCAGGAUUGAAAUUAUGGUUAAAAGCACUCCCUGUCCCUGUCCAUGCGCCGCAACUAAACCUUCGCGCGCCGGUCUUAUUCAUAGCAGGAAUGGCGCAGAGGGAG